GAUCAAAACAACAGUCAUCAUACAAGCACAUCGCUGUUUACUGAGAUAAACCGAUUUCAACAGCACUUUCGUUCAAAGAGAAAUUAGCCACGAAAGGUACAAGAAGCGAAACCGCAAAUCUCACCUUCAUGUUUAAGCAGUGCGCCAGUCGUCUGCGAUCAGCGAAAUACUGUUGACUCGGUCUUUCGGAGCUGAUCUAAAGCUUUUGCAGAGCGCACUUGCUUUUAUAGACAGGUAGACAUUGCGUGGAGAGAGGUUCGAAAGGAAAAAGAAAGAAAACCUGGGAAUCGAGCCACAGGAUGACGU
rnacentral:lncRNA from 1 species